UUUUUUUUUUUGCUGUGGAAGGAAAGAAGCCUACUGUUUACAUUUAAAUUUUAUUUUUAUUUUUUCUAUUAUUAUUAUUUUUUGAAAAUGUUUGUACAGUCUUAUGGAUUUAAGGGUACUACUCUUUUGUCUAGAGGAGGCAAAUGCCGCUCAUUUGUGGUGACCACUUUCUCGAACUUGUCAGAUCAAAAUAUUUAUCUCAUCUGCCUGCCUCGUG
rnacentral:misc_RNA from 1 species